CAUGACCUUACGCUAUCAUCCCCAGCCGCGGCCACUAUCCCUCCAACCGACUAUGGGAUACAAUGGCACACACACGCACUAUAGCGAAAAAUGCAAAAAGGUGCAAACUAGAUAACAACAGAAUAGACCACAGUCGAAAUGCUAGCUAAAAUACGUAAAAAGGUGCACAAAGUAAACAAGAGAGCGGGAGGUACCAACUCCCGGUGGAAAAACCUGAAAGUAUGCUUUGAUUCGCCCGAUGUCAACUACCACCACACAAGCUCAUCUCCUCCAUCGCGACUACUACAUGAAAAUCAUACACACAACAAAUCCCACAAAGACGAGGAGAGGGGGGGCUGCCUGGCUCGGGAAAGAUGAGGGGGUAGCCUGAAAAUUACAGAGAAGGGGGAUGGGGUAGGGGCAGGGAGUAGAGGGCUGGGGGAGCAUGAGAGAAGGGGGAAGAGAGAGAGAGAGAGCGGGAGGUACCAACUCCCGGUGGAAAAACCUGAAAGUAUGCUUUGAUUCGCCCAAGUUUUCCUGAAGCUUAGCAGAACGUGUAGUCCUAUUGCAUCCUGCCGCGAGUCUGAACGGGAGUCACCGGGAGUACUGUGUCUUGCCGGAAAUCCUCUCCGGUAAAAUAGGCACCUGUCCAAGAAAAUAGAACACACCCACAAAAAGCAGGGGAGAGAAUAAAAAGAAAAGAGCAUGAGUUGCCGGAAAAAUUUCCGGCGAAAAGCAAGAAUUCCAGACCUCUAAACAGCAACAAGAUCUGCUGUGAAUAAGCAGUGAGAAGAAGGAGAUGAGGUGGCUAAGUGAACAGUAGAGAAUGAAAGUGACCAGGGGAAUAUUCCGGGAGUACCAAGUUGGUCGGAAUUGUGGGGGGAAAAAACUGUCUAAAAGGAGCCGGGGGAAAAAGUGACGGGAAGUACAUUCACGCGCGCGGCGCGUGGCUGGCAGUGGCGGCGUGUGGGUGGGCAGUGGCGGCGCGUGGGGAAGAUUCCGGUGACGGAAUUUGCAGGGGGUGUGCGCCUGACGCUGUGUGUCUCGAUGGUGUGGGAGGUGACAAAGAGAGACUACCGUGAGAGACCACUGUAGGCUAUUGACGGAACAGUGUUCCGAGCAGCGAGAGAGAGAGAGAGGUACUUACCUGAUGGUUCCGGCGACUCGCCAGAAGGUGGUGGUGCCGAGGGUGUUAGCCUGAGGGAGAAUUCGAAGAGAGAGAG
rnacentral:lncRNA from 1 species